CCUACGGGAGGCAGCAGUGAGGAAUAUUGGUCAAUGGACGAGAGUCUGAACCAGCCAAGUAGCGUGAAGGAUGACUGCCCUAUGGGUUGUAAACUUCUUUUAUAAAGGAAUAAAACGAGGCACGUGUGCCUUUUUGCAUGUACUUUAUGAAUAAGGAUCGGCUAACUCCGUGCCAGCAGCCGCGGUAAUACGGAGGAUCCGAGCCUUAUCCGGAUUUAUUGGGUUUAAAGGGAGCGUAGAUGGGUUGUUAAGUCAGUUGUGAAAGUUUGCGGCUCAACCGUAAAAUUGCAAUUGAUACUGGCAGUCGUGAGUACAGUUGAGGUAGGCGGAAUUCGUGGUGUAGCGGUGAAAUGCUUAGAUAUCACGAAGAACCCCGAUUGCGAAGGCAGCUUACUAAACUGUGACUGACAUUGAUGCUCGAAAGUGUGGGUAUCAAACAGGAUUAGAUACCCGUGUAGUC
rnacentral:rRNA from 1 species